CAAAGAAGCAGUUCUAUCGCGCUUGCAGCUUGUGAACGAACACGCCCUGGUUUGGAGGAAUUCUCCAUUUCCCUAUAAAAUGAAAAUUCAUCUAGAAUUACAUCUUAUGUCAUCAUUAUGUUUAUUAAGCGUGGAUGAUGUAUAUGAACAGCGCUGGCUUGCCGCUGAGUGCUUAAUGAUGCAUAAGAUUAAGCCGAGGCUCUCAGCUGUGCUGUGACUCCCCUCUGGUUCCCAUGCUGCAGUAGCAUGCUGGGAGAACAAGCUCCAAACGGCCAUCAGCCAGACUAGCGCGCUCCGGCAUUCUCUGACAAAAACAUUAUCCUUCUGCUGCUAAACAAUCCAAUAAAGCUCUCUACGGGG